GUGGAUAACCUGCCUUACACUGGGGGAUAACACUUAGAAAUAGGUGCUAAUACCGCAUAAGCGCACAGAGCCGCAUGGCUCAGUGUGAAAAACUUCGGUGGUGUAAGAUGGAUCCGCGUCUGAUUAGCUAGUUGGCGGGGUAGAAGCCCACCAAGGCGACGAUCAGUAGCCGGCCUGAGAGGGUGAACGGCCACAUUGGGACUGAGACACGGCCCAAACUCCUACGGGAGGCAGCAGUGGGGAAUAUUGCACAAUGGGGGAAACCCUGAUGCAGCAACGCCGCGUGAGUGAGGAAGUCAUUCGUGAUGUAAAGCUCUAUCAGCAGGGAAGAAAAUGACGGUACCUGAGUAAGAAGCCCCGGCUAACUACGUGCCAGCAGCCGCGGUAAUACGUAGGGGGCAAGCGUUAUUCGGAUUUACUGGGUGUAAAGGGAGCGUAGACGGCCAGACAAGUCUGAAGUGAAAAUCCAGCGCUUAACGUUGGAAGUGCUUUGGAAACUGCCGGGCUAGAGUGCAGGAGGGGCAGGCGGAAUUCCUAGUGUAGCGGUGAAAUGCGUAGAUAUUGGGAGGAACACCAGUGGCGAAGGCGGCCUGCUGGACUGCAACUGACGUUGAGGCUCGAAGGCGUGGGGAGCAAACAGGAUUAGAUACCCUGGUAGUCCACGCGGUAAACGAUGAUUACUAGGUGUCGGGGGGCUAGAGCCCUUCGGUGCCGUCGCAAACGCAAUAAGUAAUCCACCUGGGGAGUACGUUCGCAAGAAUGAAAC
rnacentral:rRNA from 1 species